rnacentral:rRNA from 1 species
UGGGGAAUUUUGGGCAAUGGCCGAAAGGCUGACCCAGCGACGCCGCGUGCGGGAUGACGCCUCUCGGGGUGUAAACCGCUGUCAGAGGGGAAGAAUAGCCGGGAUGCGAAUAGUUUCCCGGUGUGACGGUACCCUCAAAGGAAGCACCGGCUAACUCCGUGCCAGCAGCCGCGGUAAUACGGAGGGUGCAAGCGUUGUUCGGAUUUACUGGGCGUAAAGCGCGCGCAGGUGGAUGAACAAGUCGGAAGUGAAAUCUCGAGGCUCAACCUCGAGGCUGCUCCCGAAACUGUUCGUCUAGGGACUGGUAGAGGCUGGUAGAAUUCCCGGUGUAGCGGUGGAAUGCGUAGAGAUCGGGAAGAAUACCCGUGGCGAAGGCGGCCAGCUGGGCCAGGUCCGACACUGAGGCGCGAAAGCGUGGGGAGCAAACAG